rnacentral:rRNA from 1 species
AUGCAUACAUUGUGCAUGAGUAGAGGGGGAAAGUUUAAGAGAGAUGACAAGAAAAAUAUUGCUGAUUUCUUUGGAGUGGGUGUUUGGAAUAUACAAAGAAUUUGGAAGAAAGCGAUGGAGCAAAUUGCUGAAGGUCUGGACGUAGAUGUUUCAAGUCAGAGGAAAGGAAAUUGUGGAAGAAAGCCGAAAGAUAAUCUAGAGCAAAUCCCUACCAUCCCACUGAAUAGGAGGUCUACUAUCAGGUCACUUGCCUGGCAACUCGGGUGCAGCCCUACGACACUCCACCGGAAGUUC